rnacentral:pre_miRNA from 1 species
CAAAGAUGGUGCUUACCUCAACAACGUCUUUGAAAGUAGGCACUCUAAGACGUUAUUUACUUCAGCACCGUCUUAGAAUGCCUACUUUCAGAGACGUUGGUGAGGUAAGCACCGUCUUU